UACGAAGGGGGCUAGCGUUGCUCGGAAUCACUGGGCGUAAAGCGCACGUAGGCGGACUCUUAAGUCAGGGGUGAAAUCCUGGAGCUCAACUCCAGAACUGCCUUUGAUACUGGGAGUCUUGAGUUCGGGAGGGGUGAGUGGAACUGCGAGUGUAGAGGUGAAGUUCGUAGAUAUUCGCAAGAACACCAGUGGCGAAGGCGGCUCACUGGCCCGAUACUGACGCUGAGGUGCGAAAGCGUGGGGAGCAAACAGG
rnacentral:rRNA from 1 species